GCCGUGGGGCCAACCCUGCAGGCUUGUCUCAGACCGAGGAGGGCACGCAUCCUCUCGCUAAGCUCUGCCCCGAGACGUGCACCCUCCUGUCACCUGAGGGAGCAGGGGGGUGGACUGGGACUUGCACUGUUCUCUCCCAGAAUGCAUGAGGGCCUGGGAGGGACCAGGCCUAAAGCCGCUCCCUUCCUCCAGCAGCCUCUGGAAGUCCCUCAUCCUGAGCUCAGAAGAGGCAGGAUGGAGUUUUCAAAAGGAAUGUUCUAAGCUGACAAGAGGAAAAAAAUGAACAAAAUCAAACCCAAAGUUGUAUUUCCUUAUUGGCCUGAUUAUCCCAAUCUGCCUGCCCUCUCCAGCGCCUGCUGUGCCUCCCCUGCACCCCAAGAGCACCUGCCUGCUCGGAUUCCUCUCAUGGUGCCCCCAGAAAGCCUGAGCCCAGCCUGCCUCAGCCCCGAUGCCGCAGCAGCCAGCCCCCAGGGGCCCUCCGAGACCUCCGCUGACCCCGUGCGUCGCCCUGGCUCCUGGCUGCCCAUCCCAUCCCCUGGCCCUCCCCCGUCUUCGCCAAAUCACUGCAGUCCGCUGUCCUCCGUGGAAGUCAACCCCUCACAGGCCAGCACGUAGACGCCUGUGCGGGCCGUGCACCUGGCCUACCUCGGCCUGUUCGGCAGGACACAGGACCUCUCCCUGACUCGGACACUGAGGAGACGGCCAAGGAGCAUCCCUGGCACCCAGCCCAGGCUCCGCUGGACCUCAGGCUCUGUCUCUUGGUUGUUUGAGGUCCAAAGGCCCUGAAAAGACGGACGUGACAUGCCCUCCUUACAGGCCACGCAGAAGCCCGUCAGGCAUCUCUACCCAGCUUCUGAAGACACCUGUCGUUAGCAGGGCCAGGCUGCUGUCCGAGACCAGAAGAAGCGUCACUGGGUGAUGCCCUAGGGUGUCACUGUGAUCACGGAGGAACCAAGCACAGGAAAUCACUCCAACCAGCCUGACAAGGUGUCAAGGACCGUCAUGGGUCUUGGUGGCACACAGCUCCUCGGAGAUUCCCCUUCCUAACGUCCCGGAGAAAGCCCACGGUCGUGGUCGUGCCGCCGGGAGCUGCGCUACGAGACACCAACACAGCAAAGUUACCGUCGAGGGGAAAGACAAACAUGCAGCAGGAGCCUUGGAAGGUGUCCUGCGGGCGCACUGCCCCCCGAAGCUCCUGUUCCUCAGACACUGGGAACAGGAGGAGACGUGCGUGCUCCCGCAGCCACGCACCCAGUGCUGGGGGCCUGGGGGUAGAAAACGGAGGGCACACGCAUGCUGCUCCACAGCCCUCCCGGGGCCCGAACGGGGCUGGAACACUCGGGAAGAAAAGCGCGGUGAUGUGCUGACAUGAUCCAAGUGGAGAGCUAACACACAUAAAAUGGCGUCCCUUUUUUUUAAAUCUUUUUUUUUUUUUUUUUCAUUUUAAAUCAUUUAAG